rnacentral:rRNA from 1 species
UACGACUACAUAUCAGGCAUAUCAAUAAGCGGAGGAAAAGAAACUAACAAGGAUUCCCUUCAGUAACGGCGAGUGAAGCGGGAAGAGCUCAAAUUUGAAAUCUUCAAGGUUCUACCUUGACGAAUUGUAGUUUAAAGAAGUGUUUUCUGUUAGGAGUUUUGGUAAAAGUUCUUUGGAAUAGGACAUCAUAGAGGGUGAGAAUCCCGUAUUUGACCAGUUACUUUCCAGCUGUGUGAUACACUUUCAAAGAGUCGGAUUGUUUGGGAAUGCAGUCCAAAAUGGGUGGUAAAUUUCAUCUAAAGCUAAAUAUUGGCGAGAGACCGAUAGCGAACAAGUACCGUGAGGGAAAGAUGAAGAGAACUUUGAAAAGAGAGUUAAACAGUACGUGAAAUUGUCAAAAGGGAAGCGUUUGACACCAGUGUUGUUUUCUCGAAAAUCAAUUAAAAAAAGUUGGAUUUUGUGUUGUAUUGACCUUAACAGCUUGCUUCACUCUUUUCCAGCUUUUUUUAAUGCACUUUUCGUUUAACAAGUCAACAUCAGUUUCUUUUGUUGUAAAAGGGUCAUUGGAAGGUGGCUUUCUCUUCGGAGAAAGUGUUUAUAGCCUUUGGCCUCUGCAAUCGGAGAGAUUGAGGUCUGCAGCGUAGAUCCUUCGGGGUUAGAUACAUUUGUGCUAAGUUAUAGCCUUUCAUAGACAACUUGUUGACUAUGAUCAGUCAUGUAGCUUACUCGCUUAUGCUAUUUUACCUACGCUUAGGAUGUUGAGCGCAUGUCUCUCUCU